rnacentral:rRNA from 1 species
UACGAAGGGGGCUAGCGUUGCCCGGAAUCACUGGGCGUAAAGCGCACGUAGGCGGAUCGUUAAGUCAGGGGUGAAAUCCUGGAGCUCAACUCCAGAACUGCCUUUGAUACUGGCGAUCUUGAGUUCGGGAGAGGUGAGUGGAACUGCGAGUGUAGAGGUGAAAUUCGUAGAUAUUCGCAAGAACACCAGUGGCGAAGGCGGCUCACUGGCCCGGAACUGACGCUGAGGUGCGAAAGCGUGGGGAGCAAACAGGG